CUUAUCCGUAACGCAUCUUAAAUUCCGGAAUAAUUCGCGAAUAGGGCUUAACUGACAAAGCAAUAAUAUUGCGAAAACAACAACCGAAUUUUGCUGAUACAAUUUCAAUUCCUAUUUAGGAAUAAUUCAGAGUAAUUUAACCGAGAAUUUAACAUGAACAAGCUUAAAUGACACAAUUCUGACACAUUUUCUUGACUUUCUAAUAAAACAGUAGAAAUUUGUUAAUUUUUGCACUAAAAAUUGCAUUUAUUUUAUUACGCCCAAAUUGAUGCCCGAUAAUGCUAAAUACGCCCAAUAUGCGCCUUGAAUCGAUAUCAAUUUCAGAAUCGCCUUUUACUAUUCGCCUUGUUUUUGAUUUUGACAGGAUUUCGGCGUUUGCUUUCGCCGUGUUUAUGUUUUGAUUUCAGAUUCGCCUUUUACUUUCGUAAACAAGAACACCAGAAGUGAAAGGCGUUAUUCUUGUUUUGUUUCAUGCGACACAGAAUGGAAUUACGCCUUCCACUCAACCCGUGAUUUUCAAUAGUUAGAAAAGUGAUAUCAAGGAAAGUUUGUGAGUAUUUAGUAGGAAAAUCUAGCAUCUUUUUCCACUUAUAAUCACUUAAUUUGUGUACAUUUUGUCAGUUCGACCUUUUCGUGAAUUUCUCCGGAAAUCUUUUUUGCAAACCACUCACAUCUUUAAAAAUCUUUAUGCGAUCGACGUAAACAAAGCAUACGAUUUAGCUGUCAAAAUCAAUGUCGAAGUCGCGGAUAAAACUUUUCGGUGAUGGAAUAGAUUAGAGUAUUUCCAGAAUAUUUGUCUAUUUUUUUCGAUAUAUUUUCAAUAUUUACGACCUCGUCUAUAAAACUGUUGAAGUUUUGCCAUAAAAGUCAUUUCCUAUGCACGAAAAAUGUGGAUUCCCUUCCUCUUCUGGCGUGUUAGGCCUGUACCAGCCCCGGUUCCAGCGCUUCCAGCUCAACUUUCAACUGUAUCGAGCUCCUGUUUGUAUACCAUUGUUCAACCGGAAAGCAGUUGAGAGAUUGCUGGAACUUGAGCCAAGUUAAUUCAUCCGCUGAUCGAAAAGCGACUGAAGCAGUCGAAACUCCAGCACUCGGGGCGCUAUUCGUCGUGGAAGGUUCCAAUCGGUCGGCCCAUAGAAAAGCUUACUUUACGGGGUUGUUAGGGGCCAAGCGUAUCGUGCUGUUGGACAGGAAUCAACCCUGCUGGAUCUGUGAGUAUAAGGCAAUACUGGCGGUUAGUACCCACGAACUAUGCCACUGCAAGCUGGGUUAUAUCCGGAUGAACAUCAUCAUCAUCGUGGAAGUGCAGAUGUUCCCCAUCUUCAGUGUCUUCUCGCAAUUGUUCAAGUAUUCGUUCCUGUCUCAACCGGCUGAUUUCUCGAAAAACGUCUAACCUUUUCUAACUGGAUUUCUCGUCAUCGUAAUAUGUCCAGGCCCCGACCAACACGCUGAUUUCCUCCUGCAUGACUAUAUUUGCGCGUCGUUUCGAGUGCCAACCGGGCGACUUUGCCAAUGACCUUGGAGUGAGAAGGAUUUGGAUUAGGUUCUGAUGAAGCUGCACCACGGCUUCGCUAUCAAUAUUUGGAUAUACUGAUCGUAGAACCUCUUGCACCCGAUGCUACUGCAGCAGUAGAAGAGAUCUAUGCUG